CUCCUUAAUCCGCAGUAUGGACGGACUCACGACAAGUAAACAGCCAAGCUGAAUAAAGCUGAGUAUAGAAGACAUACCAGAGAGCCGAGCUCCCUACAUGAAAAGGCCUGCAAAUGCAGAAAAACACAAAAGGAUAAACGAAAGCGAGAGACCCUGCUCACAGCUCGGAUUAACUCACAGUAAACAAACACUUAGCAAAGAUGACCCUGGGAGAGGAAAACGAC
rnacentral:lncRNA from 1 species